rnacentral:rRNA from 1 species
AUCUAUGGCCACGCUACCCUGAACAAGCCUGAUACCGUCUGAUCUCAGAAGCUAAGCAGGGUCAGGCCUGGUUAGUACUUGGAAAGGAGACCACCUAGAAAGACCAGGUGCUGUAGGCA